rnacentral:rRNA from 1 species
UACCAGCACCCCGAGUGGUCGGGACGUUUAUUGGGCCUAAAGCAUCCGUAGCCGGUUCUACAAGUCUUCCGUUAAAUCCACCUGCUUAACAGAUGGGCUGCGGAAGAUACUAUGGAGCUAGGAGGCGGGAGAGGCAAGCGGUACUCGAUGGGUAGGGGUAAAAUCCGUUGAUCCAUUGAAGAACACCAGUGGCGAAGGCGGCCCACUGGAUCGGUACUGACGCUGAGGUGCGAAAGCGUGGGGAGCAAACAGG